rnacentral:rRNA from 1 species
GACGAACGCUGGCGGCGCGCCUAACACAUGCAAGUCGAACGGAGCUGAGAGAAGCUUGCUUUUCUUAGCUUAGUGGCGAACGGGUGAGUAACGCGUGAGUAACCUGCCCUGGAGUGGGGGACAACAGUUGGAAACGACUGCUAAUACCGCAUAAGCCCACGAUCCGGCAUCGGAUUGAGGGAAAAGGAUUUAUUCGCUUCAGGAUGGACUCGCGUCCAAUUAGCUAGUUGGUGAGGUAACGGCCCACCAAGGCGACGAUUGGUAGCCGGACUGAGAGGUUGAACGGCCACAUUGGGACUGAGACACGGCCCAGACUCCUACGGGAAGCAGCAGUGGGGGAUAUUGCACAAUGGGGGAAACCCUGAUGCAGCGACGCCGCGUGGAGGAAGAAGGUUUUCGGAUUGUAAACUCCUGUCGUUAGGGACGAUAAUGGCGGUACCUAACAAGAAAGCACCGGCUAACUACGUG